UUUGGGGGUGGAUUCACUCAUUUCAGCAAGAAAAUCCGAGAACGGACAAAGUUUCUUGAAGUUCCUAGAUGAGAAUCAGACGAAAAUCGGAGUUUAGUCGGACUUCGAGUAAACCGAUCGAAAAUAGAAAAUGAGAGAGAAAGACACCGCCACGCGUCGACCGGCGAACGGAAGAGCGCAGCGGAG